rnacentral:lncRNA from 1 species
AUUUUUGUUUGCUGGGAUGUUUCAGGAGCUCUGGGGAGCCCCAGGCAGGUGUGGGGAGAGUGCCUGGGGUGCCAGCAGGACUGAAGUGGCAGAGUUUGGGGAUAAUGUGCUUAGGUUCAGAGAAACCAAGUCCUGGGUUCAAGACUCUUGAGUGGGAGGGGAGAGUCUGCAGACAGGGGCCAUUAUGCUGCCCCACGGGGACACAUGUGGGCACAUUAUUUGCCAUCUGGGAGUGUACACAGGUCCUCUCCUAUUUCCUGACCCUGUCUUAUCCAACUGCAGAGAAUGGGUGUCCUGGGUGACCCAGAGAGAAGUGCUGUCUGGCCAAGCACCUGGUCAAUCUGACUCCAGGGCCUGGCCCACGCAGGGACCUUGACACCAUCAGGGGUCUUAGUUGCAAACCUUGGAGACUCUAUGCACUGAUAGGGCUAGCUCAGAGGCUCUUCAGGAGGCCUGGAGGAAAUGGGGACAAAGCAGGAAAAGCCACAGCCAGGACCACAGCCAAAAACCACACCCCAGCCCAGGCUGGUGCGGAGUCCCCUGGUGCUGCCAUGGAGCUGUGGGUGCGCCUUUGCAUAGCCACCGCUCACCUCGAGCAGGCUGCCACUGGUGGGGCUGACCCUGACCAGAUCCUCCACGCUGUGGUGUGCUGCUGCAAAGGAGAAUGGGAAACCCUAGGGGUGGAGAAACCCUGAGGGGAAGUGUGAGCCCCACCCCUCCAGACAUUCAUCAGGGUCAGGGCCUCUGGGACUUAGAGGAAAAACAAAAUGCUGCUCACAGGAUCAUGGCAGGGGGUGAGGGCCCCCGUCCAGUAAGG